rnacentral:misc_RNA from 1 species
AAAACACUGUUAUAGCCAUUAAGAAAAUUUAGUAAACAAAAACUUCAAUAAAAUGUACUGAAUAAACUUCCUACAUCUUAAGAUAGUGUUGCCUUACGACAUAAUUUAAAAUAAGAUUAAGAGAUUCCAAAUCAACUAGAAGAUAGCUUUAGCUCUGAGUUGUACUCAGAAUCAAAUAUUCAUUACAAAUAAUCAAAUAUUCUUUACAAAUACAAAAUCAA